ACAGCUCCUAUCUCACCCUUUCUCUUUCAUUCUCAGUAUCAAUUAUUCUAAAAAAACAUUGAUCUCUCCCCUAUCUCUAAGAAACUAAAACAAAAAGCAAAACUUGUUUCCAGAAUUGAAACUCAGAUCCCCCACAUCUCUAGCUCACAGUUUAAAAGAAACUCUCAUCCUUCUUUUUUUCUCUCAGAAAUUCCAAAUUGACCUUUUCCGGCCAAACCAAAUCCAAAUCAGUUAACCAAACAUUUUCACCAAGGGAAAAUCAAGGCUAAAAAUAAACUUUAAAACCACGAGUUUAUGUGGUGCGAGAAAGGGAAUGAAGUGGCUGUUAACGUUUGAGUUAGUGUUGACAAUUGAUUGAUUGAAAAAAAAAUUCAAGAAAAAUUGUUAAGGAAGCAAGCUGAACUCAUGGUGAUUGAAAGUUGUUCUUGUCAUAAUCUUGCAACAUUUUCUCCAACAGAUCUUUUUCUGAUUGGCAUUAAUGGGCUUGCUUCUGUUAUAGAAGCGAGUUUUUGAUUUGCAGUACUGUUGAGAAAGGUGGUGAUAGAGGUUUCCCUUACUCAAAGGGUUUUCAUUUUGUUGGAGUUGGGUAUUGGUUUUGGUUUGUGUCGGGGAUUUAGAUGUUUGGGUAUCAUUUAGCACCUGAAAUUAAUCAUCAGUUCGAGGUUGGGUCGUAUAGGCUUGAUAAUGAUCUAAUGCAUCAGCAAUUUGCUCUAGUUUACGUUUUGCCGACACGGAUGCAGCACCAAUUGCAGACCCUCUCAUGUCAUCAACACUAGAACCAGCACCAAUUACCUGGCUUUGGGAGAAAUGGAAUGAAGUGGCCGUUGCUUCAUGAGGAGAAAAGAAUUCAAGAUGAAAUUCAGGAGCUUAACCCGUUAAUUGCAAAUUCAGGAGGUUACAGUCAUCCAUAAUACAAUCGGCUUGGCGGAAGCAUUCCAGGUUCAUUUCAGAAGCUAAUUUCCCAAACAUAUCGAGGAACGUCAGAUAACAGAUUUACUCCAAGAAUUACUAACAUCAUCAAUUGGAGCAUAUGCCUUGUGUACUUGGAUCACGCAGUUACUCCUGGUUGCCAGCAAAGGAUUGAGUGCUCAUUGAUAUCCCCAAAUUUUAUUUACAAACCCUGGUACAUUGCGGAUGAGUGAACUUCCGUUCGUCCUUCUGCAGUUUCUUCAAGCAACUACUUGAAAUGUUUUCUCUGCAGUUGGCUCACAAGUUUUAAUUUCAUGACUUGUGCUUUAGCUAGAUUUUAUCCAAUCAAUCAUGGUUUUGGUUUAGUACAAGUGUCAUCUGGUUGCUUCCGAAAGCAAUUAAGCAGCCAUAUACUCCGUAGGAUAAUUAUCAUUGCAUCCCCCUAUCAUGUUUAAAAUAUUUUGACUUUUUCUGCUAAAAUUCAUAUAUCUUAUACAUGUAUAGGAACUCCUGAAUACCAUGAUGCAUUUACUAAUUUCAUAGAUACAGUCAAAUGGGAAACUUGGAAAUCCUGAAAUCAUAUUUAGUUGUCCUUGUGGUGAUAGUAAGAAUCUCGCUGUGCGAAUUCAUGGGGAGCCGGCUAGCUGCUAGCAUUUCUAAUUAUGUUCACCAAGAGAGAGCAACACCCAGUGUAUAUCAGGUGGAUCUUUCAUGUUGCAGAUGAUGCUCUUAUUGAUCAGGUUCAUGAAAUUAGACACGCUCGAUGGGGAUUCGCAAAGCUGGUGGAAGAUACUGACAGCACUAGUUGAUCUUCUUAUCUAUUUGAGUUUAAGUAUUGAUUUUAACUGUACAUUUGUGAUAGCAAUUUGCACUACUUCUUCCAUAA